AAAUAAUUAUAAGAGCUGUACUUCUUGAUAUCAAUGCAUAUGUUCUUCAACUCAUGGCAGCAGCCAUGGAAAUUCAAUUGGAAUGGUCGUAACUUAUAAGUUAAAGUCUUAAGCCUAUCACAAGUACAGAUCAUCAUCAGAUGACGAAUCUCUAAAGUUGAAGAUAUCUACUUGGUAGUCUAAACCUCAAAGGAGCUUAGGGAAGUGAUGGCAGUUGCAGGGUAUGAACCAGACGACCAUGCAGAGACCAACGAGGCGACCAAACAGUCCAUCGUGCAUACCACAUAACCAGGUCCAGAAUGCCAGUUUUCUUUAAGGGCAGCUGACAAUAAGAAUUGUCUAUGUAUGCACUACAGAUGCUGUUCAAUAUCUUUUCAUGAGGAAGCCUGCUCAAAAAGAUCGCCACAUUUUCUUUAGGGGAAGUUGACAUUAAUCUUUUAGGUUAAUAAUAACCUAUGCAUGCAGUACAGAUGCUGUUCAUCUUUUCAUAAGCAAGCCUGCUCAAGAAGCUGCUGCAUGGAAGUCAAAAUAUGAAUUAUUGCCACCAGUCUUGAAGUCAGCUUGUAAAGAAUGCUAAGAAUUGAAUGAAAAUGCUGUCUUGAUAUCUUGUUUGUGCUGUUAUGUAUGUCUUUUGUGUUGGUUAAUUAUUCCAUGAAUAAAAAAUAAAAAAAAGUUAAUUGUGUAAGUUUGAUUUAAGAAUAAAUGAUCAGAGCAUGCAAGUCUUAUAUAGUACGUUACCAAAAAUUGUAUUGUUUGAUAGUGUUCAAACCCAAAAAUGUAAUUUAACUUGUCUAUUACUUUAUAAAUAUGUUGACAUUAUAGCUAGAUGUAUAUAGAAAUCAUGCACUGAUUCAAUUAUUAUAAUUUCCAAACAAUUAUGUCAAAUAAUUCUAUUGCUAGAUCUAAAUCAUCAGUGUGAAAGUAGACCUAUGUAAAAGGUUAAAAAUCUCAUACUAAACCAUUGAGCUGCAUUUGAACAAAAAGGGCAUUAUAAACAAAAAAUCACUAAUGAAUUUGUUUUAAACUACAGUAUUGAAAAACAUUAAAGAUUAUUCCUAAUUAAGCCAUAAUAAAAUUUAAUGACUGAACCAUCGGAGACAGUAUUUGCAUGAUAAUACCUAAUUGAGCCCUAAUAAAUAUUUCAGUUACUAAACCAUUAGGGCCAGCAUUGGACCGAUAAUGGCACAAUAAGGGUUAUCCCUAAUUGAACCCUAAUUAAUAUUUCAAUUACUAAACCAUUAGGGCCAGCAUUGGACCGAUAAUGGCACAAUAAGGGAUAUCCCUAAUUGAACCCUAAUAAAUAUUUCAGUUACUAAACCAUUAGGGCCAGCAUCGGACCGAUAUUGGCACAAUAAGGGUUAUCCCUAAUUGAACCCUAAUUAAUAUUUCAAUUACUAAACCAUUAGGGCCAGCAUUGGACCGAUAAUGGCACAAUAAGGGUUAUCCCUAAUUGAACCCUAAUAAAUAUUUCAGUUACUAAACCAUUCAGGCCAGCAUCGGACCGAUAUUGGCACAAUAAGGGUUAUCCCUAAUUAAACCCCAAUGAAAAUCUCAGUUACUAAACCAUUGGGGCUAGUAUGGGCUUGAUUAGGGCGCGAUUCUGGAAAUCCCCAAUGAAUCCGGAAGUGGGUUUACCCAUUCUGGGCCGAUAUUGGCACGAUUAGGGUAGCCCGUAUUGGUCCCUUAUGGGAACCUAAUGACGCCAAUGUGCAAACGGUAUGCGCGCCCAUUAGGGCGCGAUUUGGGCUAUUUAGGGCUGCAAUUAGGGCAAAGGGGGAUAACCCUAAUUAAAACUGAUACUGGGCCGUAAUGGGCAUGUUUAUAGGGCAAGCUUGGAUUCUAAA